rnacentral:rRNA from 1 species
AUUGAACGCUGGCGGCAGGCCUAACACAUGCAAGUCGAGCGGAUGAAGGGAGCUUGCUCCUGGAUUCAGCGGCGGACGGGUGAGUAAUGCCUAGGAAUCUGCCUGGUAGUGGGGGAUAACGUCCGGAAACGGGCGCUAAUACCGCAUACGUCCUGAGGGAGAAAGUGGGGGAUCUUCGGACCUCACGCUAUCCGAUAAGCCUAGGUCGGAUUAGCUAGUUGGUGGGGUAAAGGCCUACCAAGGCGACGAUCCGUAACUGGUCUGAGAGGAUGAUCAGUCACACUGGAACUGAGACACGGUCCAGACUCCUACGGGAGGCAGCAGUGGGGAAUAUUGGACAAUGGGCGAAAGCCUGAUCCAGCCAUGCCGCGUGUGUGAAGAAGGUCUUCGGAUUGUAAAGCACUUUAAGUUGGGAGGAAGGGCAGUAAGUUAAUACCUUGCUGUUUUGACGUUACCAACAGAAUAAGCACCGGCUAACUUCGUG